UAUGUGAUGCUGUGAGGAGCCAGGGGGCAGACUCAAACACCCCCUGAAUAUUGAGGGGACUUGGCCCCCUCAAAAAUACUUUGGGGGGGCUGACACUGCCUCAGCCCCUAGGAGUUGAUGUGUCUGCUAGGAGGUGAGUUUGUAGAUGGGACCAAGAGUGAAUACAGCCCCCAGCACACUUUGAGGUUCCUCAGAAUGCCAGGUCACUCUUUGGAGCAGAUCCCCAUAAUUCCAAAACAAACAGAAAAAGGAGAAGAAAUGUUUUCCCAUAUAGUGCACAACAGUCCCUACAAGCAAAGUCCACUUCCUUCAUAAUCCAUACUGCCAUUCUUUCACCACAAGCAACCAUUGUAAAUGAGCUUCCUCUUAACAGGAAUGAACUAGUGCUGGCUUUGGUCCUGACUUAAUUAUAACUCUGAGCCCUGGACUUCAGUUGCAAUGCUAGCAAAGGGGUGGUAUUUCUUGCUGACCUUUCUAUUCCCUUUUUCUUUUUGCUGGGCAUAUGCUAGACUGUGGCUUUCUGCAACACUGUAAUUAAUGCAUCAAUUAUUAGGGGUUGCAAGCUGUUCCCUCCCACCUUUCCAUGUUGGAAGCCUAUUGCAAAACCGCUGAGGACACUUGGAGGAAAAAUGGGACGAUGGACGUGUGAGCGAACAGAGACUUUAAUCUCAGUGGAUAGGAAAAGCAACUGCAUUUCUGAGCCUAGAUUUGUUGUUGUGAUUUUAAAUCCUUAACCAUCUCAGUAGCUGUCAAAUGGAGUCAUGUUUCUGGGAGGAGGGGGAUGUAAAUACAGAUGAGUGAUGAAACUCUGGUUCCGAAUUUCUCAUUAAUUCCCCAAGUGUUUUAACAACCAAUCCCUUUUCAAAGGGAAUUCUGGGAAUUGUAGCUCUCGGGAGGAGAAUAGGGUUUCCUAACAACUCUCAGCACAUUUAGCAAACUACAGCUCUGAGAAUUAUUUGGGGGCAGCCAUGACUGUUUAAAAUGGUAUCAUAGUGCUUUAAAUAUAAAUGCAGCACAGUACUCCAGCCUUGAGGCUGUCAGUGCACGAUGGGAAGUUCUGCUUCUGCACAUAAGUCUAGGAAUGUUCAGUUCACAUUGAGUUCAUGAAACAUUGUACCCUGACCUGUUCUUAACGCAUUGUUGACCACAUCUACGGAAUGCGAUUGUUAUGCUCUUUCAAGUCAUGCAAUAUCAAUCACUAGUAAUAGUUUAACAAGGAGGAUUUCAUACCUGUCUAACCAUGUGUUCCCUUUCCCAACCUUUAAUCUAUUGAUGAUUAAUGCCUAUAUACAACCCUUGCAUUGUAUUUGUGUUAACCAAUCAGCAACAAGCACAUUUGUGGCAAUGCUGUAAUAUUCAAUAAAAGGGACUCUCCGAGACAUGCUCGGUAGAUGCCUCCCAUAUGACACUUGUCACUCGUCUGUCGUUUAUUUCAACCCAACAUCUGACUGCCCACUCUAUCCCUAUCCAUAAACAAUCCCAGGAGGCAAACCCACCAAAACUGAUAGAUUUUAUUGACAUCCCAGCACCUCUGACAAUAUACAGGAAGGAUUACAAGUAGCACACAGUCAAUUUAUAGCUUGUGUAUUUCUGUAGCUAUUGGCACUAUCCCUAUAUCAAACAACUGGUUCCAAAAUAUAAAAAUUCAGGUUUCAUAAAAUGUUCCUGAGGAUUUUUUUAAAAAAUUCAAAUGCUAGUUUAAGUCUGAAGCAUGGAACAUCAUAUCUGAUACAGAUCAAAAGCAGAAUAGAAACAGAUGGUUUGGAAAACGUGCAUUUCCUCCUGUUAAUUCAAAUAUUAAUGUCUCCUCUUGGGAAGCUUCUGUUGAUUGUGUCUGGCAUCUAAAGCAAGAAUUUCAAAAGGGGAGGGGAAUUUAUCUUCUCCCCAGAGACAGUUCACCAACACUGUCCUUUUAGACAAAACAACCAAGUCUCUGCCAUUAACAUCUUAAUUAAUCUCCAGGCACAACUUCCUCAGCAGAGAUGCAUGUCGCAUGAACGAGACCAAAUUCACUCCAAAGGACAAGCGGAUUUUUGAAGAGAUCUACCUAAAUGGCAGGAUGAGCAUGGAUAGACCCGCCAGUCCUUUGUUUUUUCAUCAAACAGAGAACCUUUCAGCACAGCAUAUGGCUUAUAUUCUCA
rnacentral:lncRNA from 1 species